rnacentral:rRNA from 1 species
CAUUAUCGAAUCGUCAACACGAGUUGUUGCUGGCUCUCAAACGGGGGCAUGUGCACGCUCUGUUUGCAUCCACUCACACCUGUGCACCCUCUGUAGUUCUACGGUCUGGGAGACACCCCGUCUUCCUUCCGUGGUUCUGCGUCUUUACACACACACUGUAACAUGGUCUUAUGGAAUGUAUGCAGCGUUUAACGCAAUAUAAUACAACUUUCAGCAACGGAUCUCUUGGCUCUCGCAUCGAUGAAGAACGCAGCGAAAUGCGAUAAGUAAUGUGAAUUGCAGAAUUCAGUGAAUCAUCGAAUCUUUGAACGCACCUUGCGCCCUUUGGCUAUUCCGAAGGGCAUGCCUGUUUGAGUAUCGUGAACAUCUCAACUCUCGUGGUUUGCCAUGACGAGCUUGGACUUUGGAGGUUUUGCUGGCCCAUUGGUCCGCUCCUCUCAAAUGAAUUAGCUUACCGGUGUACGGUGACGCCGCGGGUGUGAUAACUAUCUGCGCUUGCGGUCGUAUGCCAGAUAACCUUCAGCACUGGAGGUUCGCUGGGGCUUACAAACGUCUCUCCUCAGUGAAGACAGCUUUUGAACGUUUGAUCUCAAAUCAGGUAGGACUACCCGCUGAACUUAAGCAUAUC